UACGGAGGAUGCAAGCGUUAUCCGGAUUUAUUGGGUUUAAAGGGUGCGCAGGUUGUUUGAUAAGUCAGUGGUGAAAGUCUGUCGCUUAACGGUAGGAUUGCCAUUGAUACUGUUAGACUUGAAUAUGGAUGAGGUAGGCGGAAUGUGUAGUGCAGCGGUGAAAUGCAUAGAUAUUACACAGAACACCGAUUGCGAAGGCAGCUUACUAAUCCAUCAUUGACGCUGAGGCACGAAAGCGUGGGGAUCAAA
rnacentral:rRNA from 1 species